CCGUAUUUCAAUAACAGCAGGAAGGGCAGAUUACUCCUGGCUGAGGAGAGAGCGAUUUUAAAAGGUACCCAACACCUGGAUCUUACUUGUGCAUCUACGUCU